rnacentral:lncRNA from 1 species
CGUAUCGUACAUGGAAAAGACUUUGCAGAUAAAAGCUUUUUUUCCCAAUUGAUCUAAAACUGAUAAGCUGAGGCAGAUUUUGACUUUAGAAUAUAAUUAAUUAAAGUACAAAUGGGAAUUAACCAUGAAGAAAAAAAAAUCUAGCUAUGAUAUUUAUUUUUGGCAGCCUCUUAUCAUCAACAAAAUCAAAUUGUCAGAGGAACUUGAAAGACAUCAAUAUUGCAGUGCAACAUAAUAAUUUAGAUAUAUGCCAAAAAAAUAUUCAA